GCGGCUGUAGCUCAGCUGGUAGAGCGCUGGCUUGUGGAGCCAGAUGUCGGGGGUUCGAGCCCCUCCAGCCGUA
rnacentral:tRNA from 1 species